AUACGUAGGGGGCGAGCGUUGUCCGGAAUGAUUGGGCGUAAAGGGCGCGUAGGCGGCCCGGUAAGUCUGGAGUGAAAGUCCUGUUUUUAAGAUGGGAAUUGCUUUGGAUACUGUCGGGCUUGAGUGCAGGAGAGGUAAGUGGAAUUCCCAGUGUAGCGGUGAAAUGCGUAGAGAUUGGGAGGAACACCAGUGGCGAAGGCGACUUACUGGACUGUAACUGACGCUGAGGCGCGAAAGUGUGGGGAGCAAACAGGAUUAGAUACCCUGGUAGUCCACACUGUAAACGAUGAAUGCUAGGUGUAGGGGGUAUCGACCCUUCUGUGCCGCAGUCAACACAAUAAGCAUUCCGCCUGGGGAGUGCGGCCGCAAGGUUGAAACUUAAAGGAAUUGACGGGG
rnacentral:rRNA from 1 species